UACGUAGGGUGCGAGCGUUAAUCGGAAUUACUGGGCGUAAAGCGUGCGCAGGCGGUUUUGUAAGCCAGAUGUGAAAUCCCCGGGCUCAACCUGGGAACUGCAUUUGAAACUGGCGGGCUUGAGUGCGGCAGAGGGGGGUGGAAUUCCGCGUGUAGCAGUGAAAUGCGUAGAGAUGCGGAGGAACACCGAUGGCGAAGGCAGCCCCCUGGGCCGACACUGACGCUCAGGCACGAAAGCGUGGGGAGCAAACAGG
rnacentral:rRNA from 1 species